rnacentral:rRNA from 1 species
AUUGAACGCUGGCGGCAGGCUUAACACAUGCAAGUCGAGCGGGGUGAUGGUGCUUGCACUAUCACUUAGCGGCGGACGGGUGAGUAAUGCUUAGGAAUCUGCCUAUUAGUGGGGGACAACAUCUCGAAAGGGAUGCUAAUACCGCAUACGUCCUACGGGAGAAAGCAGGGGAUCACUUGUGACCUUGCGCUAAUAGAUGAGCCUAAGUCGGAUUAGCUAGUUGGUGGGGUAAAGGCCUACCAAGGCGACGAUCUGUAGCGGGUCUGAGAGGAUGAUCCGCCAGACUGGGACGUAGACACGGCCCAGACUCCUACGGGAGGCAGCAGUGGGGAAUAUUGGACAAUGGGGGGAACCCUGAUCCAGCCAUGCCGCGUGUGUGAAGAAGGCCUUAUGGUUGUAAAGCACUUUGAGCGAGGAGGAGGCUCUUUUGGUUAAUACCCAAGAUGAGUGGACGUUACUCGCAGAAUAAGCACCGGCUAACUCUGUGCCAGCAGCCGCCGUAA